rnacentral:rRNA from 1 species
GACGAACGCUGGCGGCGUGCCUAAUACAUGCAAGUCGAACGAAGUGGCGAACGGGUGAGUAACGCGUAAUCAACCUGCCCUUCAGAGGGGGACAACAGUUGGAAACGACUGCUAAUACCGCAUACUGAAGGAGGGGAUUGCGUCGGAUUAGCUGGUUGGAGGGGUAACGGCCCACAAAGGCGAUGCCCAGUAGCCGGGCUGAGGGGAUGAACGUCCACAUUGAGACUGAGACACGUCCCAGACUCGUACGGGAGUCAGCAGUGGGGAAUCUUCCGAAAUGGACGAAAGUCUGACGGGGCAACGCCGCGUGAGUGAUGACGGCCUUCGGGUUGUAAAGCUCUGUUAAUCGGGACGCGGUACCGGAAUAGAAAGCCACGGCUAACUACGUGCCAGCAGCCGCGGUAAUU